GAGCUGUAGCUCAGUGGUAAAGCACCUGCUUUUGGUGCAGAAGGUCCCAGGUUCGAUUCCUGUCAGUGUCC